UGAGGAAUAUUGGUCAAUGGUCGGGAGACUGAACCAGCCAAGCCGCGUGAGGGAGGAAGGUACAGAGUAUCGUAAACCUCUUUUGUCAGGGAACAAAGGCGGGGACGUGUCCCCGGAUGAGUGUACCUGAAGAAAAAGCAUCGGCUAACUCCGUGCCAGCAGCGCGGUAAUCGCUCUGU
rnacentral:rRNA from 1 species